UACGAAGGAUUCGAGCGUUAUCCGGAUUUAUUGGGUUUAAAGGGUGCGUAGGUGGACUAAUAAGUCAGUGGUGAAAGCCCGCAGCUUAACUGCGGAACUGCCAUUGAUACUGUUAGUCUUGAGUACAGUUGAGGUGGGCGGAAUGUGUCAUGUAGCGGUGAAAUGCUUAGAUAUGACACAGAACACCGAUUGCGAAGGCAGCUCACUAAGCUGCAACUGACACUGAGGCACGAAAGUGUGGGUAGCAAACAGG
rnacentral:rRNA from 1 species